UACGUAGGGAGCAAGCGUUGUCCGGAUUUAUUGGGCGUAAAGAGCUCGUAGGCGGUUUGGAAAGUCAGGUGUGAAACCUCCAGGCUCAACCUGGAGACGCCACUUGAUACUUCCAUGACUUGAGUUCGGUAGGGGACCUCGGAAUUCCUGGUGUAGCGGUGGAAAUGCGCAGAUAUCAGGAGGAACACCGGUGGCGAAGGCGGGUCUCUGGGCCGAUACUGACGCUGAGGAGCGAAAGCGUGGGGAGCGAACAGG
rnacentral:rRNA from 1 species